rnacentral:rRNA from 1 species
AGUACCACUUAUUUAUUCUGCCCUUAGGUGAGGGACAAGCACGGAAAACUGUGUCAAAUACCUCAAAGGAGUUGAGGGCUGGAUUGUUUUUACUCUGAAACUUCUGGCCAAAGGAUAAGACGGCGGUUGAUUAGUUGGUUGGGGGGGUAACUGCCUACCAGGGUGAUGAUAAGUAGGGCCUCUUAGCGAAGUACCCCCAAGAAGGAAUCUAAAACACUAUUCCUACCUCUACGGAGUGCACCACCUGCAAUUUUUUUACAAUGCACGCAUGUGUGAUAAAGCAAGCCAAAUUGCUAUCUGUUUUACAGUUAGCUUUCCUUCAGUUAAAAACGCUGGAGAAAUAAGGACUGGAAAAGAUCGGUGCCACCCGCCGCGGUAAUCCCGACUGUUCGAGUGCCAUCCACUUUUAUUGGGUCUAAAACAUCCGUAGCUUGUUGGUUAAUUCUCUUGUGAAAUCCCAUGUCUCAAGCAUGGGGCUUGCAGGAAAUACUGGCCAGCUAAAGACCGGUAGGCGUAAGAAGUACGGCCAAGGUAUUGAUUAAAUACGUUAUUCUUGCUUGAACUAACAAUUUAGCGAAGGCACCUUACAAGA